ACGCCGUGAUACUCCAGCGCCUCUGCGA
rnacentral:sRNA from 1 species